UCGGGUAUGGUGUAGCGGUAACAUCGCUGACUCUCACUGUUCAUGGUCACAGAUCAUGAUGAUUCUCAGCAGCCCGGGGUUCGACUCCCCGUAUCCGAG
rnacentral:tRNA from 1 species